AAGACUUAGGAGAAACAUGUGUUGAUGUCUCCCAAUGUAGUGACACAAAUACAAUAUGUAGCUCUACCUGUCAGUGUAAAGAUGGCUAUUAUGAUACAACUGGUACUGGAAAUAUUGGAGGACAGUGUAAUACAAAGAAAGACCUAGGACAAACAUGUGUUGAUGUCUCCCAAUGUAGUGACACAAAUACAAUAUGUAGCUCUACCUGUCAGUGUAAAGAUGGCUAUUAUGAUACAACUGGUACUGGAAAUAUUGGAGGACAGUGUAAUUCGAAAACUUUGUCAGACCCACCAAAGAAUCUGGAAAUAACGGGUGUAAGAAGUCGUGGUUUUAACAUUUCGUGGGAAGAGCCUGAAGCAAUAUACAAUGACGAGAACUAUGGCUAUAUUCUGCAGAUAAGAGAUGAUAAGAGCAUUUGUGUGAAAGAGACCCUGUAUAGAUGCUCGGACUGUAUCGGUAGUUU